rnacentral:rRNA from 1 species
AUGUUGGACAUCCAUCGGCCAAUGGCGUCCCAGCCCCGGAGCCCCGUCGCUCCGGGCGACAACGGCGCCAACAACGGCGACUUUCUCCCCGCGGACGAGCUGCAGGAGGUGUUCUUGCGGCUGCCGUCAAAGUCUCUCGGCCGCCUCCGCACAAUCUGCCGGUCGUGGCGGUCCAUGCUCUCCGACCCGCUCUUCGUCGCCGCACACGCUACCCGCUCCCGCGCGGACUCCAUCUUCGUCGUCGUCGCCGUCCACCACCCUGGUCAUCAACUAGUCGACAUCAACCUCGUGGACGUGUCCACCGGCGCCGUGCUGAGGUGCAUGGACGGGCUAGCCCUAGCUAGGCGUCGGUUCUGCAUGGGCGGCGAGCUCCUCUGUUCCGUGGAGCCUAGACCUGGUGGCGGCGCAGGCGCAGUCCAGAUGCUCGACCCGGCCACAGGCGCCAUCACCGACGUGCUCCCACCCGCCGACGCCACAGACAGUGGCACCACGACCUACGUCCUCCAAUCCGGCGACGCCACGGCGCCACAAAAUCACACUGGCUGCACCGCCACGUUGUACUUGGUCGGCCACGUGCCCGCCACGGGAGAGCACAAGGUGCUCCACAUCACCGACGUCCGCGGCAAGCAGGCAUGCGAGGUCUUCACCAUCGGCGCCGCCGGCCGCAACAACGGCCACCAAUGCCAGCGCUGGAGGCCAGCGCAGAGCCCUCCGAUGCGCGUCGACUCGAUUCCCCGGCGCAGAGCGGUUGUCAACGGCGUCGCCUACUUCCUGCCCUCCCACCUGAACGGGCGCUGCCUGCUGGACUACGACAGCGUCGCCGCGUUCGACCUCGAGAAGGAGGAGUGGAGGCCCGCUCCCAUCCGGGGCCCGCUGAGCAGCGAGCGUCCGGGCCACUGCGACCAACUCCUGUGUUUCAGCCUGGCCGAGCUGAAUGGCCACCUCGUCAUGGUCCAUCAUAACAACCUACGCAAAACUGUCGACAUGUACUCCCUCUCCCCGACGGAGGGGGUAGAGUGGUCGAUGGGGCCAUCUCUGCGUCUCGACUCAGUUCUCGACCGUAACCGUAAAGGGGAAACUCUGGUGCAGCCAUUGAUGGAGCUCGACGACAGGAGGAUCGCGCUCUUUGUACCAGGGACACAGCACAACGUCGUGCGGGUGUAUGAUCCAAGAAAGGAGACUAGGACGGACGUGAUGGAGAUGCCUCGGGGUCAUAUUAUUGUUGGGUGCUACAAAGGUAGCCUCCUUCCGUUUCAUGGGAUGGGUGAAGCCCGGUGUGUUUGUGGAUGA